ACUCAAAGGAAUUGACGGGUCCCCGCACAAGCAGCGGAGCGUGUGGUUUAAUUCGUUGCUACACGAAGAACCUUACCUGGGUUUGACAUAGCAGUGGUAGGGAAGAGAAAUCGGACCGACCCUUCGGGGAGCUGUUACAGGUGUUGCAUGGCUGUCGUCAGCUCGUGUCGUGAGAUGUUCGGUUAAGUCCGCUAACGAGCGCAACCCGCGUUGUGUGUUAUAUGUGUCACACAAUACCGCCGGUAUUAAGCCGGAGGAAGGUGCGGAUGACGUCAAGUCAGCAUGACCUUUAUAUCCAGGGCUACACACACGCUACAAUGGACAGUACAACAGGUUGCCAAGCCGCGAGGCGGAGCCAAUCCUCUAAAGCUGUCCUCAGUUCAGAUUGCAGGCUGCAACUCGCCUGCAUGAAGUUGGAGUUGCUAGUAACCGCAGGUCAGCUAUACUGCGGUGAAUACGUUCCCGGGGAUUGUACACACCGCCCGU
rnacentral:rRNA from 1 species